rnacentral:rRNA from 1 species
UACGAAGGGGCUAGCGUUGCUCGGAAUCACUGGGCGUAAAGCGCACGUAGGCGGCUUUUAAGUCAGGGGUGAAAUCCUGGAGCUCAACUCCAGAACUGCCUUUGAUACUGAGAGCUUGAGUCCGGGAGAGGUGAGUGGAACUGCGAGUGUAGAGGUGAAAUUCGUAGAUAUUCGCAAGAACACCAGUGGCGAAGGCGGCUCACUGGCCCGGUACUGACGCUGAGGUGCGAAAGCGUGGGGAGCGAACAGG